CUUGGUUCAUCCUACGAGUAGUCAUAUGUUUGUCUGAAAGAUUAAGCCAUGCAUGUGUAAGUUUAAACUAAUUCAAACUAUGAAACUGUAAAUGGCUCAUUAAAACAGUUAUAGUUUAUUUGAUGGUAUCUACUAUUCAGAUAACCAUAGUAAUUCUAAAGCUAAUACAUGCAACAAACCCUAACUUCUGAAAGGGAUGCAUUUGCUAGAUAAAAGGUCAAUGCAGGCUUUACCUGUUGCUUUGAUGAUUCAUGAUAACUCGAUGGAUCGCACAGCUUUUGUGCUAGUGAUGCAUCAUUCAAAUUUUUACCCUAUCAACUUUCAAUGGUAGGAUAGUGGCCUACUAUAGUGGUCAUGGGUGAUGGAGAAUUAGGGUUUGAUUCCAAAGAGGGAGCCUGAGAAAUGGUUACCACAUCUAAGGAAAGCAGUAGGCAUACAAAUUACCUAAUCCUAACAUAGGGAGGUAGUGAUAAUAAAUAACAAUACUAGGCUCUAUGAGUCUGGUAAUUGGAAGGAGUACAAUCUAAAUCCCUUAAUAAAGAUCCCUUGAAGGGUAAGUUUGGUGCAAGUAACUACGGUAAUUAUAGCUCCAAUAGCAUAUAUUUAAAUUGUUAUAGUUAAAAGGCUCAUCAUUGGAGCUAGGGUUAGGUCAUCCAGUUUGCCUCGCGGUGAGCAUUGGUUUAUUCAUCCGUACUAUCGACGAUGUGCUCCUAGCCUUACUUGGCUAGGUCAUUCCUCCAGCACUGUUACUUUGAAAAAAUUAGAGUGCUCAAAGCAAGCCUACACUUGUAUACAUUAACAUGGGAUAACAUUAUAGAAUUUCAAUCCUAUUGUGUUGGCCAUUCAGAUCGGAGUAAUGAAUAAUAAGGACAAUUGAGGGCAUUUGUAUUUCAUAGUCAGAGGUGAAAUUCUUGGAUUUAUGAAAGAUGAACAACUACAAAAGCAUGUUCCAAGGAUGUUAUCAUUAAUCAAGAAUGAAAGUUGGGGGCUUAAAGACAAUUAGAUACCAUCCUAGUCUCAACCAUAAAUGAUGCCGACCAAAGAUCGAUGGAUGUUACUUUUAGGACUCCACUAAUACCUUAUGAGAAAUAAAAGUCUUUGGGUUUCGAGGGAGUAUUGUGGCAUAGGUGAAACUUAAAGGAAUUGAUGGAAGGGUACCACUAGGAGUGCAGCUUGUGGCUUAAUUUGACUCAACAUGGGGAAACUUACUAGGUCCAUACAUGUAAGGAUUGACAGACUGAGAACUCUUUCUUAAUUCUAUGAGUGGUAGUGCAUUGCUGUUCUUAGUUGGUGGAGUAAUUUUUUUGGUUAAUACCAUUAAUGAAUCAGACCUCAGCCUACUAACUAGCUACACAGAGGUGAUCUUUCAUGGCUAUCUUCUUAGAGGGACUAUGGCCACUUGGACCAAAAAAGUUUGAGGUAAUAAUAGGUCUGUGAUGCCCUUAGAUGUUUUGGACCGCAUACGCACUACACUGAUGUAUUCAACCAGCCUAUAGCCUUGGCCAAUAGGCUUGGGUAAUCUUUGAAAUUUUAUCAAGAUAGGGAUAGAUCAUUGUAAUUGUUGGUCUUCAAAGAGGAAUUCCUAGUAAGCAUAAGUCAUCCGCUCACAUUGACUAUGUCCCUACCUUUGGUACACACUACCUGUCAAUCUUACUGAUUGAAUGGUUCUAGUGAAGUGUUUAGAUUAUGGUGACAUGGAUAGUUUGCUACCUAUGGCAUCACGAGAAGUCCACAAAACUUUAUCAUUUAAAGGGAGGAGACGUAGUAACAAAGUUUCCAUAGGUGAACCUGUGGAAG
rnacentral:rRNA from 1 species